ACUGCUUGUUGGGAAAAUUCCAUGAUGGAAUCUUUUGUUAGUACUGAAGAAUUGCCAGUGUCUGAGAUGCUUCCCUUUCUGCAGCUUUUUCUAUUAAUGUUCCUACUGUUUGAAAUGAUGCUCAGAUUGCUACUCUUUCCUCUGGUGGAUUCCCUGAGUUUCUUUUGUUGGAAUUGAUUCUGUUCUCAAAGGUGAUAAGUCACCUACUCUUUUUGUGGGCCAGAUAAUAAAUAUUGAAAUGGUUUUCCAGCUAUUGCUAUGGUGAACUGUGCUUUGACCUUACAAAGAGUCAUUGGCAAGCAAAUAUGUACUUCAGGAGGUUUGUCCCUUUUAGCUUGCUGUACCUGUUGAAGGAACUACAAUGGAGAAGUCUGGAAGGUGUUCUUGUGUGAGUCGUGGAAAGAAAGAGUUUUAAGCUUUCAUUGGUACUUGGAGGACUGAAUUUGUCUUCAAAACAGAUACCUGUUGUGAGACUGAAAUGUGCAGGAACUGAACACCUCUAUCAAAACUCAGUUUAACCUAAAGACUCAGAGACUCUGAAAUCUGCCUAGCACAUUUACUGAAGGCCUUUGCACCCUAU